rnacentral:rRNA from 1 species
UUCCAGACUCCUACGGGAGGCAGCAGUGAGGAAUAUUGGUCAAUGGGCGGAAGCCUGAACCAGCCAAGUCGCGUGAGGGAUUAAGGCCCUAUGGGUCGUAAACCUCUUUUGUCAGGGAGCAAUGGCGUCCACGUGUGGGCGUAUGGAGAGUACCUGAAGAAAAAGCAUCGGCUAACUCCGUGCCAGCAGCCGCGGUAAUACGGAGGAUGCGAGCGUUAUCCGGAUUUAUUGGGUUUAAAGGGUGCGUAGGCGGUCCGUUAAGUCAGCGGUAAAAUUGCGGGGCUCAACCCCGUCGAGCCGUUGAAACUGGCAGACUUGAGUUGGCGAGAAGUACGCGGAAUGCGCGGUGUAGCGGUGAAAUGCAUAGAUAUCACGCAGAACCCCGAUUGCGAAGGCAGCGUACCGGCUCCACACUGACGCUGAGGCACGAAAGCGUGGGUAUCGAACAGGAUUAGAUACCCCUGUAA